AGUGAACGCUGGCGGUAGGCCUAACACAUGCAAGUCGAACGGCAGCACAGUAAGAGCUUGCUCUUACGGGUGGCGAGUGGCGGACGGGUGAGGAAUACAUCGGAAUCUACUUUUUCGUGGGGGAUAACGUAGGGAAACUUACGCUAAUACCGCAUACGACCUACGGGUGAAAGCAGGGGAUCUUCGGACCUUGCGCGAUUGAAUGAGCCGAUGUCGGAUUAGCUAGUUGGCGGGGUAAAGGCCCACCAAGGCGACGAUCCGUAGAUGGUCUGAGAGGAUGAUCAGCCACACUGGAACUGAGACACGGUCCAGACUCCUACGGGAGGCAGCAGUGGGGAAUAUUGGACAAUGGGCGCAAGCCUGAUCCAGCCCUACCGCGUGGGUGAAGAUGGCCUUCGGGUUGUAAAGCCAUUUUGUUGGGAAAGAAAAGCAGCAGGUUAAUACCCCGCUGUUCUGACGGUACCCAAAGAAUAAGCACCGGCUAACUUCGUG
rnacentral:rRNA from 1 species